GACGAACGCUGGCGGCGUGCUUAACACAUGCAAGUCGAACGGAGUGGCGAACGGGUGAGUAACACGUGGGUGAUCUGCCUUGCACUUCGGGAUAAGCUUGGGAAACUGGGUCUAAUACCGGAUAGUGCAAGAUGAGCUCGCGGCCUAUCAGCUUGUUGGUGGGGUAAUGGCCUACCAAGGCGUCGACGGGUAGCCGGCCUGAGAGGGUGUACGGGGACAAUAGGACUGAGAUACGGCGCAGACUCCUACGUGAGGCAGGAGUGGGGAAUAUGGCACAAUGGGGGGAAGUCUGAUGAAGAGACGGCGGGUGGGGGAAGAAGGCCUUCGGGUGGGAAACUCCUUUCGACAGGGACGCGGUACCUGUAUAAGAAGCACCGGCUAACUACGUGCCAGCAGCCGCGGUAAUGC
rnacentral:rRNA from 1 species